rnacentral:lncRNA from 1 species
AAUUUUAAAAUAAAAAAACACGUGGUACACAAUUUUAUGCAAUGUACGUAAUUUUAUUCAUGCAUGCACAUUACACGUCCAAAUUGAGAUAGGGGUAUAUGAAUGAAAUGCUAUGCUUCCUCAACCAAAUUAUUGAAUAAUAGCUUAAAUAAAAGAAAUGAAAAAACCUACUAGGACUAAUUUAAAAACAAAAGGAAAAUUAAGAGCAAAAACUGCAAAAUCCUAGAAACAAGAAGCAC